UUAAGACCCCCAGUACUGAUCAGUGACUGUCCAGUCCUUUCACAGACACUGACACAGGCAGCAGUAUGAUGAGGUCAGUCUUUCUACUGCUGGUGACGCUGGGACUCCUUAUACAGGAAUCAAUGGCAGAUGUAGUUCUGACUCAGGAUCCAGCAGCUCGGUCUGUUCAGCUGGGAGACACUGUCUCUAUCAGCUGUACAACCAGUCAGAGCGUUAAUAGAGGUGGCAACCACUACCUCCACUGGUACCAGCAGAAACCUGGUCAGGCUCCUAAACUUCUGAUUUAUUAUGCCACAAGUCGCCAUUCUGGGAUUCCUGAUCGUUUCAGUGGGAGUGGAUCUGGGACUCAGUUUACACUGAAAAUCACUGGAGUCCAGGCUGAAGAUGCAGGAGAUUAUUACUGUCAGCAGAGUCAUAGCACGCCGCUCACACAGUGA